UAAGGUAGCAUAAUAAUUUGUCUUUUAAUUGAAGAAUWGUAUGAAUGGAUAGACGUAAAAUUAACUGUCUCUUUUUUAUUUUAUUGAAAUUAAUUUUUAAGUGAAAAAGCUUAAAUUAAAAGAAAAGACAAGAAGACCCUAUCAAUUUUUAAUUACUUUUCUUAAGAAGUUAAAGGAAUUUUUUUUGGUUGGGGCAACCGAAAAGGAAACCAAUCCUUUUUAUUUUCUCUUUUUGAAAGAAAACUAUCCAAAUUAUUUUGACUUUUGAUAUAAAUACUGUAGGGAUAACAGCAUAAUUUUUUUUUGGAGUCCUUAUCUGAAAAAAAGUUUGUGACCUCGAUGUUGGACUAAGGUAACUUUUAGGUGCAGGAGCUUAAAGAGUUAGACKGUUCGUCUAUUAAUCCCUUACAU
rnacentral:rRNA from 1 species